GCCGGGCGUGGUGGUGCACACCUGUAGUCCCAGCUACUCAGGAGGCUGAGACAGGAGAAUCGCUUGAACCUGGGAGGCGGAGGUUGCAGUGAGCUGAGAUCGCGCCACUGCACUCCAGCCUGGGUGACAGAGCGAGACUCUGUCUCAA
ensembl:misc_RNA Metazoa_SRP Metazoan signal recognition particle RNA